UACGUAGGGUGCAAGCGUUGUCCGGAAUUAUUGGGCGUAAAGAGCUCGUAGGCGGUUUGUCGCGUCUGCUGUGAAAACUCGGGGCUUAACCCCGGGCCUGCAGUGGGUACGGGCAGACUAGAGUGCGGUAGGGGAGACUGGAAUUCCUGGUGUAGCGGUGAAAUGCGCAGAUAUCAGGAGGAACACCGGUGGCGAAGGCGGGUCUCUGGGCCGUAACUGACGCUGAGGAGCGAGAGCGUGGGGAGCAAACAGG
rnacentral:rRNA from 1 species